UCAUGUUCUUCAUUUAUCAUUUUGAUCAAGAAUUCAUCAAAAGAUUGAAUCUUGUUUGCCUUGGAAACCCUAAUUCAUCUGGGUAUCUUGUGUAACUUCCUCAACAAGUUUCUUCAACAUUUGAUCAAAUAUUUCAAGGGAUACUCAUAUUACAUCACCUUAUACAUAUAUGAUCCUCCCUGAGUCCCAAAGAUCAAGAGAACUUCAAGUUUGCAAGUUGGUUCAUGGUGGUUGACAAGAGGAAGUCAACUGUUCAAAACUGGGGUUCCC
rnacentral:lncRNA from 1 species